GAUGAACGCUGGCGGCGUGCUUAACACAUGCAAGUCGAACGAAGCACUUUAUUUGAUUUCCUUCGGGACUGAUUAUUUUGUGACUGAGUGGCGGACGGGUGAGUAACGCGUGGGUAACCUGCCUUGUACAGGGGGAUAACAGUUGGAAACGGCUGCUAAUACCGCAUAAGCGCACGGCAUCGCAUGAUGCAGUGUGAAAAACUCCGGUGGUAUAAGAUGGACCCGCGUUGGAUUAGCUAGUUGGUGAGGUAACGGCCCACCAAGGCGACGAUCCAUAGCCGACCUGAGAGGGUGACCGGCCACAUUGGGACUGAGACACGGCCCAAACUCCUACGGGAGGCAGCAGUGGGGAAUAUUGCAAAAUGGGCGAAAGCCUGAUGCAGCGACGCCGCGUGAGCGAAGAAGUAUUUCGGUAUGUAAAGCUCUAUCAGCAGGGAAGAUAAUGACGGUACCUGACUAAGAAGCACCGGCUAAAUACGUG
rnacentral:rRNA from 1 species